rfam:Mycobacterium thermoresistibile ATCC 19527 contig46, whole genome shotgun sequence.
ACCGGCAUGCAAGUGGGCCGAAGGUCGACUCCUGUGCCGCAGGGGUUCUCAGCCCGGACCCCGGAAAGCUGUGA